AAAACAUAUGGAGACGUUUAUACCCAUUGAUUUGACAACUGAAAAUCAAGCGAUGGACAAGGAGGAAACCAAGACAAAACCAAGACUUUUAAGAUAUGAAGAGAAAAAAUAUGAAGAUGUGAAACCAUUAGAGACUCAACCAGCUGAAAUAGCAGAAAAGGAAACAUUGGAAUAUAAAACAGUUAGAACAUUCUCUGAAUCUUUGAAGUCAGAGAAAACAGAAGAUUACCUUAGAGAAAGUAUAAUUCAACAACAUAUGGUUUCUCCAGAGCCAACUUCCCUUAAGGAGAAAGGGAAGUCAAGGAGAAAAAAGGAUCAAACUCAUGCUUGUCCAAAUGUUAGGAAAGCCAGGCCUGUGUCCUAUGAUAGAACAGAACCAAAAGAUGAUGAUGUGAUAAGAAAUAUUAUUAGGCUACGAGAAAAGCUUGGUUGGCAAACUAUAUUACCGCAGCACAGUUUGAAAUACGGAAGCUCCAAAAUUGCAAUUCAGAAGAUUACUUUAAAGAAACCUUUGGAAGAUGAUGGAGAAUUUGUUUAUUGCCUUCCUCGGAAAAGUCCUAAAUCCCUUUACAAUCCAUAUGAUCUUCAGGUAGUAUCGGCUCAUACCGCUAAACAUUGCAAAGAAUUUUGGGUUAUUACUGCUUCAUUUAUCUCAAAGGUAAUGUUUAAUGGAUGUUUUAAGCUUUCAGAAUUAUAUUAC
rnacentral:sRNA from 1 species